rnacentral:rRNA from 1 species
AUGCAUCCUCCCCCCGCCGCCGCUGCCGCCUCCGCCGGAGCGGACUACGUCCCGGCGCCCGCUCCCUCGGAGCAGGCGACGUACCCGAGGCUCUCGCCGGAGGACCUGGCCCCGCCGCCCCCUCCCCCGUACCACGCCGCCGCGUCCUACUCCGCGCCGCCCGCCUCCGGCAACCCCUACGUCUCCGGCCCCGCCGCCGGCUCCGUGCCGCCUCCCAAGAACACCAUGGACUCGGUGAAGGACGUGCUGGGGAAGAUGGGCAAGAGGUUCGGCGAGGCCGCCCGCAAGACGGAGAACACCGCCGGCAACUUCUGGCAGCACCUGAAAACUGGACCAAGUAUUGCUGAUGCAGCAAUGGGCAGGGUCUCCCAGAUCACCAAAGUCAUAGCAGAAGGUGGAUAUGAGAAAAUCUUCCAUCAAACGUUUGAUGUCCUCCCUGAAGAAAAACUCAAGAAGCCAUUCGCAUGUUAUCUGUCAACCUCUGCUGGUCCUGUUAUGGGUGUGCUCUACCUGUCCAAUGUAAAGUUGGCCUUCUGUAGUGAUAACCCACUUGCCUACAAGGUUGGGGACAAAAAUGAGUGGAGCUAUUACAAGGUUGCCAUCCCGCUAGCCCAGCUGAGGUCCGUUAAUCCUUCAACGAGCAGAACAAACGCAGCUGAGAAAUACAUCCAGGUGGUCUCGAUUGAUAAUCACGAGUUUUGGUUCAUGGGCUUUGUGUACUAUGACAGUGCUGUAAAGCACCUGCAGGAAGCACUCCAGGAGGCCCGUAUUUUGCAAGCUUAG